UAAUGUAAUGCCAACAACGUUAAUGCACCGGAUCCCAUUAGAAAUUUGUAAUUAAGUGUGAUUGGGCUAGAGUAGUACUAGGAUGGGUGACCCUGUGGGAAUUCCUAGUGUUACCUAGU
rfam:Picea glauca, whole genome shotgun sequence.